GAGGGUACAGCUCAGUGGUAGAGCCCAUGCCUAGCGUGCACAAGGUCCUGGGUUCCAUCCCCAGUGCCUCCA
rnacentral:tRNA from 1 species